CGAACGGGGUAGAAAUUUAGUGGCGGACGGGUGAGUAACGCGUGAGAAUCUGCCUCCAGGUGGGGACAACCAUUGGAAACGAUGGCUAAUACCGGAUGAGCCCUGGGUAAAAGAGAAAUGCCUGGAGAAGAGCUCGCGUCUGAUUAGCUAGUUGGUGGGUAAAGCCACCAAGGCAGCGAUCAGUAGCUGGUCUGAGAGGAUGACCAGCCACACUGGGACUGAGACACGGCCCAGACUCCUACGGGAGGCAGCAGUGGGGAAUUUUCCGCAAUGGGCGAAAGCCUGACGGAGCAAACCGCGUGAGGGAGGAAGGCUCUUGGGUUGUAAACCUCUUUUCUUGGGGAAGUGACGGUACCCAAGGAAUCAGCAUCGGCUAACUCCGUGCCAGCAGCCGCGGUAAUACGGAGGAUGCAAGCGUUAUCCGGAAUUAUUGGGCGUAAAGCGUCCGCAGGUGGCCUUCAAGUCUGCUGUCAAAGCGGGCUUAACCUGGAAAGGCAGUGGAAACUGAGUUAGAGUUCGUAGGGGUAGAGGGAAUUCCUGGUGUAGCGGUGAAAUGCGUAGAGAUCAGGAAGAACAUCGGUGGCGAAAGCGCUCUACUGGACGAAACUGACACUCAGGGACGAAAGCUAGGGGAGCGAAUGGGAUUAGAUACCCCAGUAGUCCUAGCCGUAAACGAUGGAUACUAGGUGUGGCUGUAUCGACCCGGCCGUGCCGUAGCUAAC
rnacentral:rRNA from 1 species